GGGUCAGUAGGUUGGUCGUGCCACCGGUACGUACUGGUCUCACUGAUUCCUCAUUCCUGAAGAACCGUAAUGCUAUUAAUUUGGUGUUGCGGGGAAACAGGACUGUUACUUUGAAAAAAUUAGAGUGUUUAAAGCAAGCUAACGCUUGAAUACAUUAGCAUGGAAUAAUGAAAUAGGACGAUCGAUCCUAUUUUGUUGGUUUCUAGGAUUGACGUA
rnacentral:rRNA from 1 species